AGUCUCCUGUUCAUUUUCCAUCAGAUCUUCAUAUUGAUUUUGGUCAUCAUAAAGGGGGGAAAAGUAUACUGAAGCAGUCCUCAUAGCUACAUAGUCUGGUAUAGAGCAUAGGGAUAGAUUCAAACAGGC